rnacentral:rRNA from 1 species
UUAGUGGCAGGACGGGUGAGUAAUGCAUAGGAAUCUACCUAGUAGUAUGGGAUAGCCACUAGAAAUGGUGGGUAAUACUGUAUAAUCCCUGCGGGGGAAAGAUUUAUCGCUAUUAGAUGAGCCUAUGUCAGAUUAGCUAGUUGGUGGGGUAAUGGCCUACCAAGGCGGUGAUCUGUAGCUGGUCUGAGAGGAUGAUCAGCCACACUGGAACUGAGACACGGUCCAGACUCCUACGGGAGGCAGCAGUGGGGAAUAUUGGACAAUGGGCGCAAGCCUGAUCCAGCUAUGCCGCGUGAGUGAGGAAGGCCUUAGGGUUGUAAAACUCUUUCAGUAGGGAAGAUAAUGACGGUACCUACAGAAGAAGUCCCGGCAAACUCCGUGCCAGCAGCCGCGGUAAUACGGAGGGGGCAAGCGUUGUUUCGG